GAUGAACGCUGGCGGCGUGCCUAAUACAUGCAAGUCGAGCGAACGGACGAGAAGCUUGCUUCUCUGAUGUUAGCGGCGGACGGGUGAGUAACACGUGGAUAACCUACCUAUAAGACUGGGAUAACUUCGGGAAACCGGAGCUAAUACCGGAUAAUAUUUUGAACCGCAUGGUUCAAAAGUGAAAGACGGUCUUGCUGUCACUUAUAGAUGGAUCCGCGCUGCAUUAGCUAGUUGGUAAGGUAACGGCUUACCAAGGCAACGAUGCAUAGCCGACCUGAGAGGGUGAUCGGCCACACUGGAACUGAGACACGGUCCAGACUCCUACGGGAGGCAGCAGUAGGGAAUCUUCCGCAAUGGGCGAAAGCCUGACGGAGCAACGCCGCGUGAGUGAUGAAGGUCUUCGGAUCGUAAAACUCUGUUAUUAGGGAAGAACAUAUGUGUAAGUAACUGUGCACAUCUUGACGGUACCUAAUCAGAAAGCCACGGCUAACUACGUGCCAGCAGCCGCGGUAAUACGUAGGUGGCAAGCGUUAUCCGGAAUUAUUGGGCGUAAAGCGCGCGUAGGCGGUUUUUUAAGUCUGAUGUGAAAGCCCACGGCUCAACCGUGGAGGGUCAUUGGAAACUGGAAAACUUGAGUGCAGAAGAGGAAAGUGGAAUUCCAUGUGUAGCGGUGAAAUGCGCAGAGAUAUGGAGGAACACCAGUGGCGAAGGCGACUUUCUGGUCUGUAACUGACGCUGAUGUGCGAAAGCGUGGGGAUCAAACAGGAUUAGAUACCCUGGUAGUCCACGCCGUAAACGAUGAGUGCUAAGUGUUAGGGGGUUUCCGCCCCUUAGUGCUGCAGCUAACGCAUUAAGCACUCCGCCUGGGGAGUACGACCGCAAGGUUGAAACUCAAAGGAAUUGACGGGGACCCGCACAAGCGGCGGAGCAUGUGGUUUAAUUCGAAGCAACGCGAAGAACCUUACCAAAUCUUGACAUCCUUUGACAACUCUAGAGAUAGAGCUUUCCCCUUCGGGGGACAAAGUGACAGGUGGUGCAUGGUUGUCGUCAGCUCGUGUCGUGAGAUGUUGGGUUAAGUCCCGCAACGAGCGCAACCCUUAAGCUUAGUUGCCAUCAUUAAGUUGGGCACUCUAAGUUGACUGCCGGUGACAAACCGGAGGAAGGUGGGGAUGACGUCAAAUCAUCAUGCCCCUUAUGAUUUGGGCUACACACGUGCUACAAUGGACAAUACAAAGGGCAGCGAAACCGCGAGGUCAAGCAAAUCCCAUAAAGUUGUUCUCAGUUCGGAUUGUAGUCUGCAACUCGACUACAUGAAGCUGGAAUCGCUAGUAAUCGUAGAUCAGCAUGCUACGGUGAAUACGUUCCCGGGUCU
rnacentral:rRNA from 1 species